rnacentral:rRNA from 1 species
UACGAAGGGGGCUAGCGUUGCUCGGAAUCACUGGGCGUAAAGGGCGCGUAGGCGGAUCUUUUAAGUCGGGGGUGAAAGCCCAGGGCUCAACCCUGGAAUUGCCUUCGAUACUGGAGAUCGUUGAGACCGGAAGAGGUAAGUGGAACUGCGAGUGUAGAGGUGAAAUUCGUAGAUAUUCGCAAGAACACCAGUGGCGAAAGGCGGCUUACUGGUCCGGUUCUGACGCUGAGGCGCGAAAGCGUGGGGAGCAAACAGGAUUAAGAUACCCCGUGUAG